GACGAACGCUGGCGGCGUGCUUAACACAUGCAAGUCGAACGGAAAGGCCCUGCUUUUGUGGGGUGCUCGAGUGGCGAACGGGUGAGUAACACGUGAGUAACCUGCCCUUGACUUUGGGAUAACUUCAGGAAACUGGGGCUAAUACCGGAUAGGAGCUCCUGCUGCAUGGUGGGGGUUGGAAAGUUUCGGCGGUGGGGGAUGGACUCGCGGCUUAUCAGCUUGUUGGUGGGGUAGUGGCUUACCAAGGCGUUGACGGGUAGCCGGCCUGAGAGGGUGACCGGCACCCGUGGGACUGUGCUACGGCCCAGACUCCUACGGGAGGCAGCAGUGGGGAAUAUUGCACAAUGGGCGGAAGCCUGAUGCAGCAACGCCGCGUGCGGGAUGACGGCCUUCGGGUUGUAAACCGCUUUCGCCUGUGACGAAGCGUGAGUGACGGUAAUGGGUAAAGAAGCACCGGCUAACUACGUG
rnacentral:rRNA from 1 species